rnacentral:lncRNA from 10 species
AUUCAAUGCAGUGACGGCAGAAAGUGUAUGGGCAUGAAGAUUCAAAGAAAAAGAUGCGGCCGUUGAAAGAUUUAUAUGCUCCUUUGCUCCAGUUUCAGGCUGGGCACAGCGGCUCAUGCCCGUCAUUUCAGCAUUUUGGAAAGCUGAGGUGGGAGGAUCAUUCGAGGCCAGAAGUUCAAGUCUGACUGGGCAACAUAGCAAGACUCUGCCUCUACCAAGAAAAAGGAAUAUCCAGGCAUGGUGGUGCCUUCCUAUAGUCUCAGCUACCCAGGAGGCUAAGGCACGAGGAUUCAUGCCCAGGAGUCAGAGGUUAUGGUGAGCUAUGAUUUCACCAUUGCACUCCAGCCUGGAUGACAGAAUGAGACCUUGUAAAUAAAUAAAUAAAUAAAACGAGU